rnacentral:tRNA from 2 species
GCCCGGGUGGCGGAAUCGGAAGACGCACAGGACUUAAAAUCCUGGGCCCCGAAAGGGGCGUGAGGGUUCGAGUCCCUCCCCGGGCA